CCUACGGGGUGCAGCAGUGGGGGAUCUUGCACAAUGGGGGAAACCCUGAUGCAGCGACGCCGCGUGAGUGAAGAAGUUUUUCGGAAUGUAAAGCUCUAUCAGCAGGGAAGAAAAUGACAGUAACUGACCAAGAAGCCCCGGCUAACUACGUGCCAGCAGCCGCGGUAAUACGGAGGGGGCAAGCGUUAUCCGGAUUUACUGGGUGUAACGGGAGCGUAGACGGUUAUGUAAGGCUGGCGUGAAAGCCCGGGGCCCAACCCCGGGACUGCAUUGGAAACUGGGUAACUUGAGUACAGGAGGGGCAGGCGGAAUUCCUGGUGUAGCGGUGAAAUGCGUAGAGAUCAGGAGGAACACCGGCGGCGAAGGCGGCUUGCUGGACUGAAACUGACGUUGAGGCUCGAAAGCGUGGGGAUCAAACAGGAUUAGAUACCCUUGUAGUC
rnacentral:rRNA from 1 species